GACGAACGCUGGCGGCGUGCUUAACACAUGCAAGUCGAACGAUGAAGCUGGAGCUUGCCCCGGUGGAUUAGUGGCGAACGGGUGAGUAACACGUGAGCAAUCUGCCCUUGACUCUGGGAUAACUGCGGGAAACUGUAGCUAAUACCGGAUACGACACCUUGGGGCAUCCCAGGGUGUGGAAAGAAUUUCGGUCAAGGAUGAGCUCGCGGCCUAUCAGCUAGUUGGUGAGGUAAUGGCUCACCAAGGCGACGACGGGUAGCCGGCCUGAGAGGGUGACCGGCCACACUGGAACUGAGACACGGUCCAGACUCCUACGGGAGGCAGCAGUGGGGAAUAUUGCACAAUGGGCGAAAGCCUGAUGCAGCAACGCCGCGUGAGGGAUGAAGGCCUUCGGGUUGUAAACCUCUUUUAGCAGGGAAGAAGCGAAAGUGACGGUACCUGCAGAAAAAGCACCGGCUAACUACGUGCCAGCCGCCGCCGUAA
rnacentral:rRNA from 1 species